rnacentral:lncRNA from 1 species
UUUUCCUUCACAGUUAGAGACACGCGAUAUUUAAUUUCUUAAAAUGCACAGAACUGUUGAGGCGAAGUUGAGGAUAAAAGUUGGAGAUGCAUGGCCCUUACCGGAUUCAAACCUACACCAUCCUCAUGGUCAUGUCCACUGCCCUAUCAUGAGUCUCGUAUCUUGAGGUCAUAUAGGCAGGUAUGUAUAAAUAAUAUAUUAGGCUGAAAACUAUCAAUAAUAAUUUUGCAAAAUGCAGCUGUUUUCUCGUCUGGUAUUUUUGAGAGGUCUGAUUACUCAGUGACAGUGAUUUUAUGUUUUGUGUGCCCAUGUAGCUAGGCUUACACAAACGGCGCCGAAAGCUGCAGGGUGCGCCCCCGCCCGCGCCCUCACCCCCGCGGGGACAGGGCGCUACUUUCACUGGCAUCCGUCGGGCGAGCAAACCCGGUACAGUGCGGUAGCUGUGAGCACGACAAUACGGCGUUUGACUAACGGCUUUUUAUAUCAGGCCCGGCGCGGCGCAGCCGACAGCGACAAUGGCGCUUCGUGCGCACAGUACGUGUGGUGCCGACAAUCGUCAUCACUUUCUCUUCGAUGCACUCAGUCUGCUAGCGGGUGACGUAUUCGAGAGCGCUCCACACAGACAAAACAAAACAUAUUUUUGUAACUAUUAUCAGCACGCCACGCAGCGGCUAAUGGUCGUUUCCGUUGUUCGCCCGGCCGCGGCUCGUGCACUGCGAGACGUCUCCAGCCUCCACAGCGGUAUUGUAGUCACUCAUCACAAAGAGUGCUCCAACGAACGCAUCACAUCAAUCAAACUGGCUGCACACACACACUGGGGACACUGUACGGGACGCGUGUGCUCACCUAGGUACCUAGUGCUCAAGACGCAACAGUCAAAAUAUAUGGACUAUUAUUAAUACAUUGCUGGACUCGGAUUUGUUGAAUGAAUUGGUUACAAUGUCCGAAUUACCUAUAGUUUAACUGGUUUAAUUUCAAUUUAAUUGAAAGUUGCAUAACGAAGAUAUGGCCCUAAGGGAUAUUAUAGUAGGUACCUACUAGAAAUAUUAUCUACAUUAUAAAAUGCACAAUUUCAACCAAUAACACACAUUUCAAACAAUUGUAAUAAUAAUUAUAUAGGUAAUUGGAGCUAU